rnacentral:rRNA from 1 species
AUUGAACGCUGGCGGCAGGCUUAACACAUGCAAGUCGAGCGGGGGAAGGUAGCUUGCUACUGGACCUAGCGGCGGACGGGUGAGUAAUGCUUAGGAAUCUGCCUAUUAGUGGGGGACAACAUCUCGAAAGGGAUGCUAAUACCGCAUACGUCCUACGGGAGAAAGCAGGGGAUCUUCGGACCUUGCGCUAAUAGAUGAGCCUAAGUCGGAUUAGCUAGUUGGUGGGGUAAAAGCCUACCAAGGCGACGAUCUGUAGCGGGUCUGAGAGGAUGGUCCGCCACAAUGGGACGAAGAAACUGCCCAGACUCCUACGGGAGGCAGCAGUGGGGAAUAUUGGACAAUGGGGGGAACCCUGAUCUAGCCAUGCCGCGUGUGUGAAGAAGGCCUUAUGGUUGUAAAGCACUUUAAGCGAGGAGGAGGCUACUCUAGUUAAUACCUAGGGAUAGUGGACGUUACUCGCAGAAUAAGCACCGGCUAACUCUGUGCCAGCCGCCGCGGUAA